rnacentral:lncRNA from 10 species
CAGGUGAGUCUACACCCCUCUGGGCUACCACCCCUCACCUCAUGCUGUCUCCUGAAAAGGACUCUUCCCCUGGACUGAAACAGGCUUGGCACAUCACCUACAGGUAUCUGGGCAACCAGAUGAAUAAAUGAGGCUCCAGAGAUGAAGUAACAUACUCAAGGCAAGACUUUGUAAAGGUAACAUUUAUGCUGAAAAGAAGACAGAAUUUUGCCCUAGAGAGACAGAGAAAUGGAAGAAUGGGCGUGUUCUCCACCCUGGCUGUCAUUAGAAUCUAUGACCUGGAAUGUGUGGGGGUGCAGUCAGUGGCCCUGCUGAGCGGGGCACUGGAAUUCUGAAGGGGACUAGAGGGAGCUUAGGUCACAGGGGCUGACAGGGGCCAAACGAUGGGAAGAUAACUUUUUAUGGCAAAUAAAACAUAGAGCUACUUUACCC